GAGUGGUUCGCAGGCAAUUUCCAAUGAAGUUGGCCUUUGCAUGUACAGCUCACAAAGUACAAGGCAUGACAAUGGAAUCAGCAGUAGUAUGCUUGAAGCGUGUUUUUGAACCUGGAAUGGCCUAUGUUGCACUCAGCCGCACAACCUCACUUAAAGGACUGUACAUCACAGACUUUGAUGAAAAGAAAAUCUAUGCUGAUCCUGCCAUCACAGAUGCACUCAAAAAUAUGAGACAUGCAUCAUUUGAGAAUGCAAGACCACUGUUGCAAUUCUUAAAAUCAGUAGAUCCCACAGUCCCCACGUUGACAAUUAUCCAUCAUAAUGCACAAGGUCUCCCAACUCACAUGGAGGACAUGAGAUGCCACCAUGAACUCAGCCUUGCUGAUGUUUUAUGUAUAACAGAAACACACUUGUCUGGAUCAUCGGUUUCUCCCCGCUUCCAGCUGGAACAAUACAACAUGGCCACACGCAACAGACACGUCUCUUACACAAAUCAUACAGACAUGGCAAAGGUAAAUGGCGGUGGAGUUGCAAUUUACUACAACACAAUUCUUACAGCAGAGUCCCGAAAAUACCUGCAAAAUGUGACUGACCUUGAAUUUGUUGUUGUCAAGGUUGAAUCGCCAGUCACAGCUUUGAUAGCAACUGUAUACAGGCCACCAAAUUACAGCCAUGUGAGGUUUUUACCACAAAUGCAAUGUCUUUUGGACUCGUUGGAAAUGAUGAAUCACCAACCAAUUAUUGUUUGUGGAGACUUCAAUGAGGACCUUAUGAGCAGAGGAAAAAAACCCAUCCAAGAACUGUUGCAGUCAAGAGGAUAUGCACAACUGAUUACUGCUGCAACUACCGAAAAACACACAUUGAUUGAUCACAUUUACAUAUCACAGCCAUACGCCUGCCUCCAAUCAGGUGUUCUGAAUACAUAUCACAGUUAUCAUAACCCCAUUUAUUGUGUUAUUCACUAACACAAAAUGACUGCAAGGGUAUGAGGGAUAUGGACUUGCCAAGUGUCACUCCCUAUUGGCCUACUCUCGCCUAAAAGUCAUACAGAUGGACCUAAAUAUGGAUAUCAGCAUCUACAACAAGAAGUACAGGAGCUGUGACCAUCUGGGUCUGCUUGCUGCUGGCAUUUUGCCAGAGCCCCAGCAACAAGACCGCCUCCCAGCUACGAGACUGCCUGUAAGCCUUGCAAGAUGCCGAGAAAAAAUAAAAGAUCCCAGGCACAAAAGAAGCGCUGGAAACCACUUGACCUGGUCGAUCCUGCUGUCCCAAUGCUCACUGGCCACAACCAAGAUGAGGCAGUCAGUAGUUUUCCAUCUGACCAGACAGCACCAGCCAGGUUGUCCUUGGUAACGGAGAAUAGACCCACCUCCUUAUGUCCUCCAGGCAGCAAGACACAACAGAACACCAGCCUCUACGUGGUGCGAAGCCUACUGCAACAAAAACGUGAUCUUCAUGUCUUUGCGACUGAGCACGCUCUACCAGCAACACUGACAGCUCACCAGUGGGAGCUCAUAGAUAAGACUGCUGAUGUGCUGUCAUCCAUUGAAGAGCUGACUAGAAACGUGAACAGAAAGACUGCAACUGCACCUGAUGGGAUCCCUGCCAUAACAGAUGUGUUCUGUCCAGUGAAGGCAGUGGAGAAGCUCUACACUGAUGUUGAAACUGUGCCACUCUUCUAGAAACCAGCUACAAGGAUGGGCAGCUGUUUUUGCAAAGUCAGCCAACCUCUUGUUUCCAAAUGACCCUUAUCCAGAAGUAUCCGUGAAUGCCUCAUGAGAAGAAACUAAAGUGGAGACCUACCUCUCAGAGAAAAACGCACACAUAAGAAAAGCGACCUACUUCAGUACUGGAAAGAACAUCCUAAUCUGUCUCCCUCUAUGGCUGCUGUUGCGAUCCCAGUGUGCCCCCUGUAGCUCUGUGGACAGUUUUUGAUUUGUUUGCAUCUCACCCCAACCGGUCGCGGCAGAUGGCUGCCCCUCCCUGAGCCUGGUUCUGCCGG